UGGCGGGGGAUCGGGGAGCCAGCCGUUCCCUGUCGCCCGAAAUCGGCUACAUGCGGGGAUCCGUCAACCUUGAGGUUAGGGGCCUCCAAACAUCGGUAGGCCCCACCUGUCGACGAUGAAGCCCUGCCCUGCCGGGUCGACGGAGGUUGGGGUGCCCCUGUAGGGGGGUUGCCCACAUCCUAACCGCCGAACCCGAUGAGGCUCGGAAGAGAGCAGUCGUAAGGCGGACGGCCCGGCGCUGGCAGGAUAACAGGGUCCAGAAGACCGGUGGGAAACCGCCCCUGUGAGGGACCCUGAGCCUCAGGGGAAGCCGCCA
rnacentral:SRP_RNA from 1 species